rnacentral:tRNA from 1 species
GAGGGUGUGGCUGAGUGAUAGAGCAUUUGCCUAGCAUGCAUGAGGCUCUGGACUCCAUCUCCAGCACCCCUG